UGGGGAAUUUUGGACAAUGGGGGCAACCCUGAUCCAGCAAUACCGCGUGUGUGAAGAAGGCCUUCGGGUUGUAAAGCACUUUAAGUUGGGAAGAAAAAGCUUCACCUAAUACGUGAAGCCUUGACGGUACCGACAGAAUAAGCACCGGCUAACUCUGUGCCAGCAGCCGGUAAUACAGAGGGUGCUAGCGUUAAUCGGAUUUACUGGGCGUAAAGCGUGCGUAGGUGGUUUGAUAAGUCGAUUGUGAAAGCCCCGGGCUUAACCUGGGAAUUGCGGUCGAUACUGUCAGACUCGAAAACGGUAGAGGGAGGUGGAACUCCAGGUGUAGCGGUGAAAUGCGUAGAUAUCUGGAAGAACACCGAUGGCGAAGGCAGCCUCCUGGGCCUGUUUUGACACUGAGGCACGAAAGCGUGGGUAGCAAACAGGAUUAGAUACCCUGGUAGUCCACGCCGUAAACGAUGAGAACUUGACGUUGGUUUGCUUAGCAAAUCGGUGUCGUAGCUAACGCGAUAAGUUCUCCGCCUGGGGAGUACGGCCGCAAGGUUG
rnacentral:rRNA from 1 species